UCCGCCCAUACCUGAGUGAGGCCCAACCGGUGUUUGUGUCCUCGAAUCUGAAACGCCUGAAGCAGUAAAGUCUAGGUCCUGAUCUCUUGCUAGAAGACAGCACCAUGAACAACGAUCAGAUCCAGGAGUCCACUCAGAAUUGUCUCCAGGUCAUGAAGAACAUGGCAUAAUUUUUCAGCCCCCGGGAAGUACUCCAAAUCUUGAAAAAAGUACUUACCAUUCUGGAUGCCUGCCGAGCAAUCAUGUAAA